rnacentral:tRNA from 1 species
AAGGGAGACCUAAUUCAGGUAGGAGACGAAAAAAAAGUAGUCGCUACCAAGAAUCAAUCCCAAAAGGUCGGAGCGAGGCGAAAUUGGCUUCCAAACUAGGUUCUGGGUUCACACAAGACCUGAAUCAGGAACAAGGGCUAUUAGCUCAGGUGGUUAGAGCGCACCCCUGAUAAGGGUGAGGUCCCUGGUUCGAGUCCAGGAUGGCCCACCUGUACAGGUGGCAAAAAGAAAGAAAAGAAGCGAGGAAUCAGCACCUUAUCUUACUGACAUAGUAAGAGAGAAUGCUGGCUCUGAGUAAAGAGUCCAGAGGAACCUUGAAAACUGCAUAGAGCUAGGUGAAAAAGCCAAAAAAGAAGACCGCAA